GGUCUACUUUAACACAGCCUUCAUUAUAAAAUUUUGCUUCUUCAAUACAUCAAAAGUAAGACUGCUAUCGGACCAUAACAAUUUCAGCUCAUCAACAAGAGACCUUAGAUAUACAUCAAUACUUCUACCAGGAUGUCGUGGUCCAGGAAUGACUAAUGUAAGAAAGAUAUUAUAUUCUUUUAUACACAUCUCAGAUGGCAGAUUGUAUGGAGUAACAAAGACUGACCAACAUGAAUAAGAGGUCGUUGCAUGAUCGAACGGUGUAAAAUCAUCCAUAGAUAGAUCAAGUCGGACAUUGCAUAAUUUCUGAGCAAAUAAAGGAUAGCAAGCAUCAAAUUACUUCCAUGUCUUGCUCUCCGAUGGAUGACACAUCAUAUCGGAGUGCUUAUGUGGUCUUUCUUUGUGCCAUCUCAUCUACUCAAUAGUACUCUUGAACAAGUAGAGCCUCUGAAGUCUA
rnacentral:lncRNA from 1 species